rnacentral:misc_RNA from 1 species
AUCAUGCGUGCAUUGGUAUUUAUUGAAUCAAAUGCGGAACGAUAAUGUUCAAAGAUGUAGAGCGAUAUAUUAUAAAUGGGUGGCUUUGCUAAAUAAUAAACAAUUAUUGUCUAUGGGCAAGACACUGAGAUACAAACUGAAUAUGGCCCGAGUCCUUGCACGGUGAAGCUUACUGGCCUACGAGAAAGUAGGCAUCAAGGAAUUUGAAUAAUUGGUUUGGCACGUUCCAAGAAAUAUCAUCUAAAUGGCAGCAAAACCCUUUUCAAACGAAGAAUUAAAUUUCUUCAAAUUUUCAUCCAUCGUUUUUGACGAGUUUCCGAACAUGCUACGUGCGACAUUUGUGAAACUUUGGAACACAAAGAUUUCAGUUCUUGGAUGUAACGAAUGGGACGACACACCCGAAGUCCGCGCUCUUUUCUUGAAACACGAAGGAGGAACGACUGAUGUACCAACCAACAGAUCGUACCAUGAUUGGGAUUGUACAAAUCUGUUUAGAGCAACCAUUUACUCGAAGACCUUCGGAAUUUCCACCAUGUUCAAGACUCAAACACUGAACGACCAAUAUAUAAAAGGGAGAAAAACCAGCGAAUUUCACCCCUCGCUGAUCAGUCCAGGCGGAAUCGAAGAAGAAACAUUAACUUUAGCCAUUGACCAAGUUCGACUUCUUAGAAACCAUCUGUGCCACUUGUCCAAAUCCAAAAUGAAAAAAGCUGAUUUCUUAAAGUAUGUUCAACUCGCUAAAGAUGCUUUUGCCGCAACUGGAUACUCGACCUUUCGAGUUGAUUAUAUUGGCAAUCUUAAAGAGGAUGAUUUUCCAACUAAUGAAGUUAAUAGGUUAAGAGGAACAGUCGAGUUUAUUUAUGAAAGAGUAACAGAAAUGAUACGCACAAUGAUCGAUAACAACGAACUCUUUCAAGUAGCGGUCAGAAGAUAUUCUAAUAGAGCUGAAGAGAAUGAAGGGGAUCAAUGUAUUGAAACAGGCUGUUUAGCAAAGGAAGGAGUUAUUCUCGUAAUAUUUUUCAACGGAAGAAUAAAGCAUGAACAAGAGCCAAGAGAUUUGGACAUAGAGGCUUCUAUUGGCGAUUUGCUUGAUGCACUAAAAAAAGAUCCUCGCUUAGUAGGUGUUCUCGAGAACGCAGUGAAAAGAGCUUUGGGUUCUGAGAAACAUGACCAAGAAAUAACAAACAUCGAAAAAGGAAGUCUUCUUGUUUCAUUGCACUGCUUUACAGAUGAACGGUUUCUUGAGGUUUUGGAUGAUCUUGAAUCCAAAAGGCUUCAGGAAAGUUUUCUGAAGGAACUUGCUCUGAUUGGAAUUGAAAUGGAGGAAAUAGAGAUUAAGAUACUAAACAUGGAGGAGGUAAAUAAAGAAAGAUUUUUGUUUUGAAUUUCACAUCCAACCUGUGACACGCGGGUGGAAAACAUGCAGGAAUGCUGCUAAAACGAGGAUCGCAGUUAAGGAAGGAAAUCUUGAAGAAACGGAGGAAAGUAAAUCAAAACUUGUG